rnacentral:rRNA from 1 species
AACGAACGCUGGCGGCAGGCUUAACACAUGCAAGUCGAGCGCCCCGCACGUGGUGCGGCAGACGGGUGAGUAACGCGUGGGAACGUACCUUUUGGUUCGGAACAACUCCGGGAAACUGGAGCUAAUACCGGAUAAGCCCUAACGGGGAAAGAUUUAUCGCCGAAAGAUCUGCCCGCGUCUGAUUAGCUAGUUGGUGAGGUAACGGCUCACCAAGGCGACGAUCAGUAGCUGGUCUGAGAGGAUGAUCAGCCACACUGGGACUGAGACACGGCCCAGACUCCGACGGGAGGGAGCAGUGGGGAAUAUAGGAAAAGGGGCGCAAGCCUGAUAAAGCCAUGCCGCGUGAGAGAUGAAGGCCUUAGGGUAGUAAAGCUCUUUUGUACGGGAAGAGAAUGACGGUAACGGAAGAAUAAGCACCGGCUAACUACGUG